UCCGCCCGCACUCGAGCCCGCACUCGCGCCCCCACCCACCCACGCUGCUCUCUUCCCGGAUCCCCUCCCACGAACCCUAGCCUCCUGGUGACGCCACCCCUUCCUUCCCCCGUCCCCCUCCCCCCCGCGCGCCGCGAGCCCCUCCCUCCUCUUCGCGUUUCGGGCGGCCAUGGACGACUCCAUGAGCGGGACCACCGCCGUCGCGGCGCUCGUGGCCGGCGGCGCACUCCACGGGGCUCGGGACGUCCGCGACGGCGCGGGCUGUGGACCGAGAGGCAGGGCUCGGGACGUCCGCGGCGGCGCGUGCGGUGGACCGAGAGGCAGGGCCCGUGAUGCAUUCCGUUCGAGGGGCUGGUCGGGUUGGCGCGGGAUCUGAGCCACCGUCGAUGGAUUUCUCGCAGCUUGGCUCCUGUUGCUUUGGAUCCGGGCGAGGAGCCGCCGCCAUGUUUCUCCCCGAGCUCUGUGGUGGAAUGGUCUAUUUGUAUCAGAUUGUGUUUAGUGGAUGCGAAGAGCUCAGUUCUGGUAAGCUAGACCCUGAGGCGUGCAGCAGGUAUGUGGAGAUUAAGGAGCGUGCCCAUGUGAGCGGCUUCGAUUUUGUUGUGCCAAGAUCUCCGGUGGCAGGGAUUCACUUCUUUUUUUGGUGAUAGUCAGGAUUCAGUUUGAUGUUUCUGAAUUUUAACAAUCAUGUUUUACAGUACCCUUGACAUGAAUGAGAUGACUGGGCUUAAAUGAGAACGAUGAGAACCAUCCUGUUCUCCGUCGCAAUUAGCAUGUGUUUAAACUACUACUGCAGCAAAUGUUUGUCGUACCUUCAGUUUGUGCCGCAGAAUCUGUGUUUCAUUGGCACUUUUGUGUGUGUUUGAUUUAGUAUCUUUACCCAGGUGCUUGCUAGAGGAGAAGAUUAAUGGUCCAACACGGCUUCAUGAUUUAUGAGCUGGAGGAGAGGGCAUUGGAUGAACUAAUCAGUUCGAAGCUGUAGAGUUUGGAGGUGGAUGUUACUAAAGGGAGGAAGUUGAUCACAAGUUUUCUUUCAGCAAUUGGUGAGUUACAGUUUUGUUUCACUUUUCAAGGAUGAGUAUCUUUACUUUGAAAAUGAACUGGUCAUAUUUCUAUUGGAAAUGAAGUGAUGUUGCUUCCCAGGUAAAUAACUGAAUUCUCUUCUACUUUAGUAGAUUCAGUAACUUUUCUUUAGAGUUGUUGUUUAACAGUAGCACUACCCUUGAGUAACUAGAUCAAUGGCUGCCACUAUGUAAAUCUUAGUUCCAGUACAUAUGAUAAUCAUGGUUCUUCUGUCUUGGUCUGAUGAUUUUACACAUGCCAACAAGCAUCCAUGCGAUAUGUUCUUUACUUCUGCACCUAACAGCAUGUUUUCCCACAAAAAAGUACACGUGUCGCGGCAAUCAUGCGUUUUAUCAUCUAUACUACUAUUAAAAGAGCAAACAUAAACCCCUCUAAAGCCACCCAACAAAUUAUACACGGAGUAAUCAAGACCCUCCGAUUAAGUCAACUUAAACACAUCCUACAGUCUAUAUUACGCUAAUGAUGUAUCAACCAGAUCGACGUCUCAGAUGAAAAGUUCUGCCCAGCAGACGCCGUGGUCUGCCAAUCCUCUUCGCGCUUCGUGUCCCCCGCCCGCAGCUCGCGGAUAGAUUCCGCCCGUCUCCAUCGUUCCCCACCCCUCCCUCCUGGCCUCCUCUCUCCUCCUCGCCGCCGCUACAGGAGGCCGCCGGGCGAAGCUCGACCUGCGUCGGCGGCGCCGGGUUCGCUCUCCCUCGAGCGGCGUCAGCGACGCGGGAUGCGGCAGGCUCGGCCUGCGUCGGCGGCGCCGGUGUCCCUCUCCUCCGUCGAGCGGUGGCGGCGUGAGGCGCAUCAGGAUCGACCUGCGGCGGCGGCGGCGGCGGCGGGAUCACUCUCCUCCGUCGAGUAGCGGCGGCAGUGCGGGACGCAGCGGGCGGCGCAUCGCGGUAACCUAGCUCCUUCCCGUACAACCACUCCGUCCCCGUGCUCUAUUCUGCCCGACCCGACUAGGAUUCUGCCCGUCCCCGUGCUCUAUCCGCGCCUCACAUCCCCCAGCCUCCUCUCCAUGUGGCCCUGCGAUGCUGCCGCCUCGCUGUCCCCAUCGCUCCCCGUGCCGGUUGCAGCCUCCCCAACCCUCCUCUCCAUUCACCAGCUUCGCACGGUCUCCACGGCUGCUACAACAAUGUUCAUAUCCUAGAUUGACGCCGCAUGGGUAGCAGCUGGACCCGUCAUCAACCAGAACCAGGUAAUACAAAUCCGCCUAUGCGUCUUCUAUUCUUAAUCAUUGUUUCUAUACAGGUGGAGAGACAGCCCUGCUCGAGUUGAUGUUGCUUUAUGUGGUUACGAAUUACGAUCAUAGAGUUGUCAUCCUCGGUACCUUGGUCAUCCUCACAUGUCAACCCGCCAUCUAAAAGAAGCGACAUUGAGAAGAAAAUGGGUAGAAUGGUGUACCUGCUGAUGUGUUCUUUAUACUCCUAUAUGCGACUUGUUGGUUCAGAAUCCGUUAUGUGAUUACUACAUUAUCACAAAAUGUUAGAUGUGUUUGUUAACCAUGCAAGGUAAGUAAAUACCGCGUAAACAGAUCCCAUGCCUAUUCACCCCCGGCUCUACCCAAAUCCCCACCUUGAGCUCCUUCCUCAUGUGGAUAACCCUUGUCGAGUUCUAUAUAAUUGAUUGGAUAACCCAUGUGGAUUUCCGUAUAACUGCUUUGCUGUAAAAUUUGUCCAAAUCUAACUAAUGCAUGACGAUAAUUUCAAUCUCUUGUGUUCCUAGAUUUUAUUACAAGAUUAAUUACUGGGUCCUAUGAAUUUUUUUAGUAAAAGAUUUGUGAGUAUUUUUCUGCAUCGGGUACUAUGAAUUGAUAAAUGUUGGAAUGUUGACUAGAUUGUCUAUGCAUUGGUUGAAACAAACAGGUUUCUUUUUCUUUCCCAUUCUGUUGACGCUAACAACUUGAUCUGAUUACAUUUGCGUUUGCAUUACCAUUCCUCAAACAAACACAUCCCUAAAUGCUUUACUUGGUUUGGUCUUUUGGGGUAUGCCAGAUUUCUUUGUUUCAUUAAAGGAUAUUGGUUAUUAUGUAAAUUUGACCCUUAACAGUUCCUGACGGAAAGUAUAUAUGAACUCCUAAAUGUCUUGAAAUUUUGCAGCUCAUGAAAUGGAUCUCUGUUAUAGUGAAGGAACCAGAGGGAAGGAUGCUACUGUCUUAGCAGUGGUGUUGAUACUUAAGCACUCCACCUAUUCUAAUUUUUUUGUACCUUUUCACAAAUAACUAUCAAACUUAUGUAUUGUCAUGCAACCUAAUCUGUGUUCUCCAUUGCAUCAGCUACAAUUUUUUUUGAGAAAGAGACUAAAAGGCGUAUAGAUGAGUAACAGAUAUGAAAAAUACUUGUAUACAUCAUGUCUUGGAUAAGAAACAGUAUGAAAACUUCAAUGAAAAAUUGUUAGUCAAUAUCAAACAGCCGCAACUAUCCUGAUUUGACGACGCUUAUGCCAAUUCAGUUGUUGUAGCAGAGUAUUGAUCUAAUACUCAUCUGUAUAUAUCUUUUUAAAUCUAAUAAGUGAACGGAUGGUCAUGAAGUGAUGUUUAAUUAUCAAGAUGUGAACUUGUUCUUUCGACAGGUGAUUAUGUGGAGCUUGUGAAGGAAAAAGGCAAACCAACAAGCUUGGGCAAUCGUCUAUUGGCGACAACCUGGUAUAGAUGACCUACCUAUUGUUAAUUUUCCAACUCUCACUUUGUAGGUCUGCAAUUGUAUCUCCUGUACUAAACAAGAGAGCAUUUAAAUUUGACGCCUACAAAUUUGUGGCUUGCUGCAUAGGGGUUUUCCAUAUCUACAUUCUAAUAUUCUCCAUAUUUUUUUAUUAACGUUCAUAUCAAAUGUUUGUGGUAUGUAGGUUCAAUAGUUGACAAAAUUGAAUCUCUCUUACCAGCUAUGACUUCAUGGUCAAUAUAUAUACAUGUGCAACAUCCAAAAAGAGAGAUGUCAUCAAACUUCUCAUUAACUUUUUCCGGUUCUACUUUCUCCUUUACUGUUGAAAGCAUAUGGAGUGCUAUCAAUCAAUAUGAACAACUUCCUGCCGCCUCUCUUCUGUUGGAUUGCUUUUUUUUCUGAAAAUAUUUGGUAACUCAAUAUUUUUCUCUUAAUUCAUGAGAUUAUAUAGUGCCAAGAUUUUACUGGUUUCAUCUUGCGUGUUUGUGCCAUCAUGAGUUUGUUCUUUCUGCGGGAAAUGGCUAUAUGACUUCAGAUCUUGAUAAUUAAUUUCGGAACUUCGAAAAUUCUGGAGAUGAAGAAUGUGUCAGUAACCUAAAACACAUAUUGAAGUAUCAUUCACCGAGUAGUGCUCAGAUGGUAACUUGGACCAAUUAGGAUGUAUACCUGAAGGAGUGAAUCUACUGGUUCAGCUGGAAAUUGAUCUCUAUUUGGUUUCUGUUUUUGCGUUUGGUUUUGCCGGCUGCUCGUCCUUCGUAUGCUCAUCCAUCUUGGCUGCUCUGCUUGCCUGCUUCUCCUCUCUAACUCAGGUUCUGCGAUCUCUUGUGUUGCUGCGUCCCGAUCUUCUGCUUUGUUUCAUCUCUGUUCUGUCAUCGAGAUCUGGCACGCCAUCGUGUAUUGUUCGGCCUCGUCCCACUUAUAUGUCAUGCUUGUGUGUGAACAGAAUGCGUCCGCUUAUUUCAGUCGUUAUACAUGUUUUGGAGGUCGUGGUGGCGGCGUAGUGCGGUGUGCUUUAUGACGCUUUCGUACCUGUAUGAGGUUGCAGAGGACGUGUCUGUACUUGCUGGGGUAGAAUUCAAAUUGUGAGGGAUGGUUGUGCUUAGAUUUGGUCGCUGCUGGUCGGUUCUUGAGUUCAGCGCAUGAAAACCUGCAACUGCUAUCAAGCGAACCACAGGAGGGAGCAGCAGGCAUAGAAGAAAUCCCAAGCCAAUUUUGCUCAGCUGUAGCAUCUUCCACGGACAAUAAGUCUGCACAGCAGCCUGGUGAGGCUGAUGUUCUUGCUUAAUAUAAGCCAACAAUGGAGAAACGGACCAAGCUAUCUUUCAUGAUCGGUUACACACCAAGCCUAUGUUUUUGUUGCUUCUACAUGUUGCUAUGAUGGUCAUUCAGCCCAUUUUCUUGAACCUGCACUACAACGAGAGAUCUGGGCUGCUUCUUUGUGGCUUCCAAACUUGAAAUGUUUGUUUGGAAGUUAGUUUAGAUUUUUGUUGUGGAUUCACAACUUCUCACAUGUACCAUCCUCUUAGACCUUUAGAUUUCCAAAGAAACUAAAUGAAGAUAUGGUGGUAUGGUCUCAAUAGUAGAACUUAAAGCCUUCCAUGCUUUAUAUUUUCUCUAAAA